GGGUCGGGAUUGAUUUGUAACCUUUUUUUUGGAAAAUUUUCACAUGCACAGGAGUAGAGAGAAGAGAAUAACGAAGCUCUGUGCACCUAUCGUGUAGCUGUAAACUUACCAACACUUUACCAAUUUUAUUUCAUCUGUUUCCCAUCCUUCCCCAGCCCCGCUUAAGGAGUUUCAAACAGAUCCCAGCUGUCAUGAUAUUUCCCUGCGGCAGGAGCAAGCGUUGUUAAUCCCCUCUCAUGGGAAAACAGAGGCACUGACGAGUUAAGAAUCUCACCCAGGACACCCCGAGGCUGUGGGGAAGGAAGGCACCAGAGGCCGGUUCCCUCCAUCCUGUCACCCCCGGGUGACUUCCUCGGUUACAGCGAGCGUGUCACCCACACUGCCCGCUGUGGCAACAGCGUUCACACAGAUUGCCCGCAUGGAUGGGUUUAUCUCACCCCCAAGCAUCUCAAUAAAUCAAAAGAGUUAACUUCCUGAGACUACAAACCGGGAUCCCUUUAAAGAAUUACAAGGAAGUCAAGUCCCCGAGGUGAUGUUUGCUCAGAAGAAUGCUAUGUAAAGCCCAAACAUAUGGCAUCAUGAAGAAGCAGCAUGGCAGCCCUGGAAAGCCUUGUUUGGUUGUUGCGCUGGCAAAACCAGCAUCCCCGCCAGGACACCCGGCAGCAGAGGCCAUUUCCCACCAAGGCACCGGGAAGGACUGGGGUUUUCUCCUGACCCCUUUUUGAGCUUUGGGUACCUGGGCCAUCAGGGGAACAGUUUUAGACACAUCACCACCCUCCAGCGUCCGCACAGGCGUGUGACUGCCAGGGCAGCCCUCGGAGGUGAUGUGGGGGUCUCCUUUGUCCCUGCGGAGCUGCUGGGAGAUGUUGGUUAGAUAACAAAGGACUUGGCCUUUGUCCCCAGUUCCUGGGAGGCAGCCUCUAACUCUUCAGCUGAGUUUAUGCUAAGGGGGUGGGUCAGGGCAGCCCUUAAAUAGCUUCAGGAUGACGGCCUCUCAGGCCAGAAAGACCACCAGGGGUUCGGAGGGCUGGGACUCUGAGCCAAGUGAUUUCAGGCCAACCUCUUGACCUCCAGGGAGGGGAGCUGGAGCUUGGGUUCAAUCACGUGACUAGUGACUUAAUCUUGCCCACAUAAUGAGCCUCCAAUAAGAACUCCAAACACCGGAGACCCACGUGAGCCUCUUGGUUGGCGACACACACGGAUGUGCCAGGAAGAUGGCACCUGAGGGCACAGAGGCCCUGCACUAGAGGCCCUCCCAGAUCUCGCCCUGUGGGUUCCUUCUUUGGGCUGGUCCUGAUUUGUAUCUUUUAUGGUAAAACUAUAGCGCGUUCCUGAGUUCUGAGCUAUUCUAGCAAAUGACUGAACCAGAAGAGGUGGUGGGAACCCCUGAAAUUAAUUGCCACUUGUCAGAAGCACCAGUGGUUGGGACCCCUAAAGUUUGGGCAGUGUCUGGCGUGAGAGCAGUCCUGUGGGAGACCAUGCCCUCACCCCGUGGACCUGCACUGACCAGCACACCCUCCUUGGGCCCGAUCAGUCCUGCACCCACCCCCAGGUCUCAACACAGCACCUUGGGAGCCUGGGGGCCUUUCCCCGUGGCUACACAGGCGAUGCACCGUCCCAGGACACCCUCGAGAGAAGGCCAGAGCUCCAGCCAACUUGAGAACUUCCUUUCUUCCCUGAGCCUUCCCUCGUUCCGGAGGCGGCGACGGGCCAUAUGUUCUGAGGACGCCGGCGCUCUGCUUUGGCUCCCCCCGCCUGGCUCAGAGCUGAGGAAGAUAUAUUUUAAGCCCCGCAUUUAAAAAUAAAAACCUUGGCACGGCUUGCGAUGAACUAAAAA